UGAAGGAGCAAAAUGAUGUCUUCUCCUUCUUAUUUCUCUUGAAUUAAACUCAGCCAAAAUUUUGGUUCCCUAGUUUCUCAUGCGCAUAACAAGGACUACCCAAGGAAAACAGAUUGGUGAUUCUUGAUUCUCUUCUCUAGGUUCGGCCAAGCCCUUUUGCUGACCAACUAUUCACCUCCUAAUGUUCUAUAGACUGACUCAUCUCCAAUUGUUCCUCAAUCACAAACAGAAAAGGAUAAAACUCAGCCCUUACUUCUUCUCUAAACCGCAAGCAUCAUAAGAGAACACAAGACAAUCUAAGUUUUUGCAUGUUUGCCCCUCAUCUUCUCUUCACCACCGCAAACGUAUCAAGGAAGAAUCCCAAGAAGGAACCUCUCUUGCAUAUUCGUCCCUCAUCAUCUCCUAUGAGCCGUGAGUGUCCUAAAGAGGAAACAAAACACCUAAACUACAUUCCUUCUUCUCCUUUUCUACUUCGGCAGAAUCGCACCCAGCAAGGAGCUGGAAUCGGUUUUGUGGAUCUAAGGAAAAGGGUAGGACUGCUCUUUGGUUGCUGGUGGUCUUUGUGCACUAGUGGCUAGUGCGCAAGGUCCUAAAUAAGUGGGCUGUUUGGUGAUAUUUGAGUAAAAGUUGUAUGCAACGAGGAGGACGUAGAAGUGUUUGAUGACGUGAUUUCAUGGAAAUGUUUUGUUUAAGUUCUGCUGCUUGGGAAAUCCUGCUGUUUAAUUGAUGUUACUGUUGGAUGCAUAUUGUAUAUUCAGCCUUGAUGUAGCUUUUAAGAAUGGCAUUUUAUGAUGUAUAAUCUGUUUUGAAAA